AUGAACGCUGGCGGCGUGCCUAAUACAUGCAAGUCGAGCGAACAGACGAGGAGCUUGCUCCUCUGACGUUAGCGGCGGACGGGGGAGUAACACGUGGAUAACCUACCUAUAAGACUGGGAUAACUUCGGGAAACCGGAGCUAAUACCGGAUAAUAUAUUGAACCGCAUGGUUCAAUAGUGAAAGACGGUUUUGCUGUCACUUAUAGAUGGAUCCGCGCCGCAUUAGCUAGUUGGUAAGGUAACGGCUUACCAAGGCAACGAUGCGUAGCCGACCUGAGAGGCGGGUCGGCCACCCUGGAACUGAGACACGGUCCAGACUCCUACGGGAGGCAGCAGUAGGGAAUCUUCCGCAAUGGGCGAAAGCCUGACGGAGCAACGCCGCGUGAGUGAUGACGGUCUUCGGAUCGUAAAACUCUGUUAUUAGGGAAGAACAAAUGUGUAAGUAACUAUGCACGUCUUGACGGUACCUAAUCAGAAAGCCACGGCUAACUACGUG
rnacentral:rRNA from 1 species